rnacentral:rRNA from 1 species
AUGUCUUCGAUUGCGUCGCAGCUGCAGGCCAUCAAGUCGGCCCUCGGCUCCGCGCCGGAGUCGACUCGCCGGCCCAUCACCCGGCCGUCCGUGCUCUUCGACGCCAAGGAGGCCGCCGACAUCGACCUCCGCGCCAUCCUCCCCAUCGCCCUCUCCGGCUUGGAGCAUCUUACUGGUGUGGACGAGAGGUUUGCGAGGUACAGUAGCACGCUAUUCAGCCAGACUAGCCUUGAGGUCAACCGUGAGCAGCAAACUCAAAAGGAAAAUGACAAGCUGAACAAGUCCAUCUCCUCCUACCUUGGCCUUCUAGCUGGCUAUCUGCAGCUUCCAGCUGCCCUCAAGACGCUUGAAUACCUUAUCCGCCGAUACCUGGUGCAUGUCUACAACGUGGAUGAGUUGCUGCUGUGUGCAUUGCCGUACCAUGAUACACAUGCGUUUGUUCGGAUUGUGCAGUUGGUCAACUUAGGGAACAGUAAGUGGACAUUUCUUGAUGGUGUGAAAUCCUCGGGUGCACCCCCGCCCAGGAGUGUUCUAGUACAGCAGUGCAUCCGUGAUACUUCUUUGCUGGAGACCCUUUCCAACUAUGCGGCACCAAAAAAGGGUUUCCUUCAUUCAAGGACAGUGGUGUGCUUUUGCACUGCAGUAAUUGUGGAGUGCUUGGGAGCUAUCCCCAAGCUUGAUUCAAAUAUAGUGCAGAGGGUGGUGGGAUAUGUGUUCGACUCCCUUAAUCCUGAUAUUGGGGCAGACCGAGAUUAUAAGGCUGGCGCUCUGAUGAUUGUUGGGGUACUGGCAACACGAGCAACACUGGCACCAAAACUUGUUCAAGACUUAAUUAUCUUUGUUGCAAAGGCUGCACAGCAUGAUGCAUUGGAGUCGGUUGAUUUACCGUGGCUUCGUGUUACAGUAAUGGCUAUUAUAAGUCUAGUUCAGUCGCAGUCUGUCCAUGAAUUCCGUAAGAAGCCAUUGAUGAUUCUAAAAGACAUCAGGGAUUUUUCUGGCGUCCUUUCUGUAUUAUCAAGCGAGUUCAACAUUGAGAAUUUCGUUAGGCUUUAUGUUGAAUCACUGGUUGACUACAGUACUAGUGAUGAAUCCUGCCACGUGCACCUUAUUGAAACCAUGGAGACAAUACCUAUCAAGAACUUUGUUGAAAGGAUUGUGCGGAAGGUUCUUGGAAACUGUAUCAAAGCAUCACGGGUCACCGACAAUCCAGAUAUAAACCGCACAGGUAUAUGGGCAAAGAAGAUCUUCGCUGCAAUUGAAAAAAAAUAUUCAUGUGAGCUACGUGAUGCUAUCCGUAAAUUUCUUGAGGAAUCUGAAAUUAACUCAGUAAAAGGGGAUUCUUCUUCCAAGUUGCUCAGCUUAGUGUUUGAUGAAAGCAAGAGCAUGCCAGCUGAAAUUUCUGAUGCUAACAUCUGGUUCAGUCUGGAUCACCCAAAGGCUGUGGUCCGUCAAUCUGCUCUCUCGAAAAUUGCCAAGUCCGACAUUUUAAAGAAAAGUACUGCAAAUCCAGAGAAGUUUAUAAAUAUGCAAGAUGCAAUAAUUCGCAGUUUGUAUGAUGAUGAUCUAAGUGUUGUUCAAGCUGCCUUAUCCAUAGAAGGACUAGCCGCUAUCGCCAGUCCUCGUGGCCUUCUAAAAGCAUACGAUGAUUUGCUCGUGAAAUGCACCGACAUCAUUCACAAAGGUGGUUCAAAAACAUCAAAGGCUUGUGAUGUUGCUGUUUCAUGUUUGGAAAAGAUGGUUAUGGAAUAUCAGGUGCAUCACAUGGAACAUGCCAAGGACAUCGCUACAGUAGUAUUUGGUCUUCUUAUUGUUCACCCAAAGACCUUGAAGGUAAAUUUGAAGGCCUUGGAGCUAGCUAAGAAAAUACAAUGGGAUUUCUAUGCAAGUAGUCCUCUUGUUUAUGAGCUCACUGAUCCUGAAGCGAAGAACGUGCCUUUGGAAUCUAUAGCCUCCAUUAACAUGAAGAACAUCCAAGCUUUUGCUGAAACUUUUCUAUCAAACCCAAAUAAACAUGUGGAGUGGUUGGCUGACUGUGGAAACCGAAGUAGCUUUUCUAGAACUCUGUUCUUACUCAUAGUAUUGCAAGCUCUGCUUAUUCCUACUGAAGUUUUGGAUAAGCAGGUGAAUCUGUGCCAAGUUUGUUUGCCAGCUCUGAAGAACGAAUGGUCUCACAUACAGCCAAAAGGCGAUUGUAUUGGUGAUGAGAUCAGCAUUGACAACCUUGAGAAGUGCAUUACGGAACUAGUGAAGCAUAUUUUCAAUAAUGACACAGAUGCAUUGAAUGCUAGAAUUCUUGUCUGCAUAUUUUGGGGUCUGCUAAGGGUCCAGUCUUCCUAUGUUAAGCAGAAUUUUAUGAUUGAUGCUGGUGAAAAUAUAGCGCUUGAUGAUUUGUUUAUGUUUUUCAUCACAUCGCCUGACAACAAUAUCUUUCAGAAGCACCUACAGUAUCUGGUGGCUAACUGCACAGGAGCACCUAUUCAAUUUAUCUCAAAGUACCUUGUGGAUGAAGGUUUGUCUGCUGGAGUUCAAGCAGAGAGUCUUCUUGUGCUUGCGUCAAUUUGUUCAACGUGCGCUUUAUCUGAAAGUAGUAGUAUGGAUGAGAGCUUGUGUAUGCAGCUUCUACUUUUGUUCCCUUCUCUUAUUGUCCCUCUUUCCCACGAAAAUAAGGAUGUAAGGUCCUCUGCUAUGAAAUUUAUUGAGGGCCUGUCUUUGGUGUGGCAGCGCUUGAGCACUUCGGUGUCCAAAAAUGGAAACAACGGCAAAUUCCCCAUGUCAUCUCCAGCCUUUGGUGUUUUCCUCGAGUCAUUGGCCAACCAAAAGGCCAUGAUAUCCUCAGAUGCGAGAUUUUUACCUGCUUAUAUUUCAUCAAUGCUUAGCCCAAGUCAAGAUCUGAUGGUUCCUGAGAAUCUUCACGAAAGAAUUGAUCAGCCAACCAAAGAUGCUAUCCUUAAUUUCAUCUUGCACUCUUCUUUGAAGCUCUCUCCUUAUGGAAAGCUGAUGGUUCUGUCAGCCCUGAAAGGAGUAGGAACCAUCUUAUUUAAGGCAGAAGAGGUGAAGUCUUUGUUCUUGUAUCUUCUGGACCGUCGUAGUCAGUAUCAAAGUGGGCAUGAUUCUAAGCAGGUCCUGACUACUCAUGAAACACAAAUAUUGUGCUUGCUUUUGGAGGUUUUGUUCGCAGUGGCAGAUCAAACGAAUUUUGGUUUUGAUACAUUUGAGGCUCUAUUGAAAGCUUUAAAGGUUGAUGGUUUGUCUCACGAAGAUCCUGUUGCCGUGAUGCCAUGUUUAACUGCCCUGCAGAAUCUUCAACCAGUAUUCUUUGAAAAUUUGAAGAACGAUACUAAGGAUAAAGUAUUUGGGCUACUUAUUUCUCUGUUUCGAGCUGAGAAUUUGGAAAUUCGAAAUGCAACACGAGAUGCUCUACUGCGAAUUAAUGUUCAUGCCUCCACUGUUGUGAAAUUUAUUGAAUUGGUUGUAGCGCAAGGUGAUAAGAGAGGAAAUCCAAAGAGAAUAAAGAGAUCAGAGAAUCUUAACCGUGAUAACCAUUUUGAAGAGUAUUUUGGAGAACACCCUGUGUCUUCUAUUCUCACUUCUCUUCUGGAUAUUAUUUUUCUUAUGAAGAAUGUGAAUGAAAGGCUAUGUUUACUCCAACCACUUUGCCAGAUUCUAUCAAAGCUUCUUUCCGAUCAAUGGAUUUCAGGGAUAGUUUGUCAAUAUAACAAAGGCUCUUCUGAAACUCUUGAUGUACCCAGUUUUGUAAAAGAAACCCAGCAGUUGGUACUACUGACACUCAAAGAUAUCAUCGGUACACUACAAUCGGGCCACCAAGAUAAUCUGCUCAACAAUGGAAAUGUAAACCUCCUUAUCAAUUUCAUAAGGUCCACGGAGGAUGUAGGAACUCGUAAUCAUGGAUUGUCGUUGAUUGCAUCCUUAGCAAAGGCAUUCCCGCAGCUGGUUUCAGAAAAUAUUAUUGAUCUGUUUGUUGCUAUUGGGGAUGCAGUGAAACAGGAGGAUAGCCACUCGCAACAUGUUAUGGAGGAUUUAUUAUCUGUACUAGUGCCAUGUUGGCUAUCAAAGACCACAAGUAUAGAAAAGCUUCUUCAGAUAUUCAUUAAAUCUUUGACUGAUGUUGCCGAACAUAGGCGUGUGACCCUCAUGAUGUACCUUUUGAGGACCCUAGGAGAAAAUAGUUUGAGUACCGUGAUCAUGUAUCUACUGUACACGUUGAUUGAGCGGGGUUCACACUCUCUUUCGAAACACAAGAAGAGUCAUUGUGUCCUAUCCUUGAGUGCCAUGUCACAGGAGUGGGAAUAUGGUCUGGCAGUCAAUAUGACGGGCCAAUAUUCCUAUAAAUUAUGGUUUCCUUGUCUGUGUAAGCUACUACAAGAAAUCAAGGUGCAUCAGAAACAAGUUUUACUUCCUAUGCUACAUUUGGCGUUGCAGUUUAUUCUACUUAAGCUGCAAGAUACAGAGUUGAGAUUUGAGCUUGAAGCUGAGGAAGCUGCUAAUUCUAUCCAGAAUUCUCUUGGAACACUCAUGGAGGAAGUUGUGUUGUGCACUGUCUCUGUCAAAGACAAAAAAGGGGACAUUUCUGGUGAUAUUCUAAAGGAAGUCAGGAACAAUUCAAAUACUGUUCUGAAAAUAAUUACGGGAUGGAUGCAUGCUUCAACAUAUUUCAAAGGAAUUACUCAGUUGUUAGAACAUCCAGAAGGUCUUGUGAAAAGAAAGACACUUGGAAUAUUGUGUGAAACUGCAAGGGCGAAUAACAUGGUCCAGAACAAGCAAAAGAAAGAAAGAAAACUGAAGCGCAGCUCUCUGUCUACGGCACUCCAAGUGGACAAGAGCUCUUGUCCUUAUUUCAGCGAGCUGUGCUACAAGAUUCUAGAGUUGAUUGAUAGAGAGUCGGACACAUCUGUGAAAAUUGCUGCUAUUUCUUCACUUGAAACACUAGCGAAAGAAUAUCCCUCUGAAAAUCCUGCAUAUAGCAAGUGCCUUGCGACAAUCAUUAGUCACAUCAGCUCUGGUGAUUCUGUCACUUCUUCCGGGUUAAUAAAUACCGCAGGGUCUCUGAUUAACGUGCUAGGAUCAAAAGCAUUACCUCAGCUUCCACUUAUCAUGAAAAAUAUGCUGCAAAGAGCACAUCUAGUGUCAUGCUGCCCUAGUGGAAAAUAUGUUCAUGGUUCUCCGAGAACUGAUGCCAGCCUUUCAAACCAAUCUAUCAGUAUGUUGCUAUCCGUACUUGCAACUAUUCAGGUGAUUGUGCAAAAGCUUGGGGAAUUUGUUAGUCCAUAUUUGGAAGAAAUACUGGAUCUCGUGAUAUUGCAUCCUGAAUGUGCUACUCAAAUUGAUGGAAAGUUGGAUGUAAAAGCAGCAGAUGUUCGGGGCCUACUGACCGAGACAGUUCCAGUUCGGCUUAUUCUUCCACCUUUACUGAAUUUGUAUUCCAGUGCUACCAAAUGUGGAGAUGCAAGCCUGUCAUUGUCGUUCCAAAUGCUUGCAAAUGUAGUUGGUACAAUGGAUCGGCUGGCUGUAGGAACUUACCAUACAAAAAUAUAUGAACACUGUUUGGAAGCUCUUGAUCUCCGUCGUCAGAAUCUGGACUCCUUGAAGAAUAUAAAUUUAGUUGAGCAAAGUAUUACCCACACCAUUAUCACUCUCACGAUGAAGCUUACCGAGUCCACUUUUAGGCCUCUUUUCCUUCGUACUCUUGAAUGGGCAGAGUCUGAAGUUGAUCAGUCAACAUCAAAGAGAAGUAUGGACCGAGCAAUUGUUUUCUACAAGUUGGUCAACAAGCUCGCUGAACAACACAGGUCCUUGUUUACACCUUACUUCAAGUACCUACUUGAGGGAUCAGUACAAUAUCUAUCAGAAGAUGGUGUCUUGAUCAGUUCCAAGCGAAAGAAGAAGGCUAAACUUGGAGACGAUAUAGUCAAAUAUAAGGAUAGUUUGUCAGGACAGAAGCUGUGGAACUUGAGAGCACUGAUACUGAAAUCAUUGCACAAGUGCUUUCUUUACGACAAUGAUCAGAAGAUCCUAGAUUCCUCCAAUUUCCAGACUCUUAUGAAGCCCAUUGUUUCUCAGUUUGUUGCGGAACCGCCUGAAUCUCUUGAUUCAGUUCCAGACGCUCCAUCAGUUGAGGAAGUGGAUGAAAUUCUUGUUUCGUGCUUGGGCCAAAUGGCAGUGACUGCGCGAUCAGAUGUUCUGUGGAAGCCUCUUAACCAUGAGGUGCUGAUGCAGACAAGGAGUGACAAUGUCCGCCCUAAGAUGCUGGGCCUGAAGGUGGUGAGGUACAUGGUCCAACACCUGAAGGAGGAGUACGUGGCUCUGGUCCCGGAGACCAUCCCGUUCCUGGGCGAACUGCUCGAGGACGUCGAGCUUCCUGUCAAAACGCUGUCCCAGGAGAUACUCAAGGAGAUGGAGACCCUCAGCGGCGAGAGCCUCCGGGAGUACCUGUGA